rnacentral:rRNA from 1 species
AGGGUUUGAUCAUGGCUCAGAACGUACGCUGGCGGCACGCCUAAUACAUGCAAGUCGAACGAAGUAGCAAUACUUAGUGGCAGACGGGUGAGUAACAUGUAGGUAUCUACCCUUUGGCCUGGAAUAACACGAGGAAACUUGUGCUAAUACCGGAUAAGUCUUUACGGAGAAAGCUUUAUGCACCAUUGGAUGAGCCUGCACUUGAUUAGUUUGUUGGUGGGGUAAUGGCCUACCAAGACAAUGAUCAAUAGCUGAUUUGAGAGGAUGAUCAGCCACAUUGGGACUGAGACACGGCCCAAACUCCUACGGGAGGCAGCAGUAGGGAAUCUUGCACAAUGGAGGAAACCCUGAUGCAGCGAUGCCGCGUGAGUGAAGAAGGCCUUUGGGUUGUAAAGCUCUUUCGUCGGGGAAGAAAAUGACUGUACCCGAAUAAGAAGGUCCGGCUAACUUCGUGCCAGCCGCCGCGGUAAUA